GGCGCUGGGAAAGGAACGGUGCAGCGACCGACCAACCGCGCGCUCGGUGCCUCCAAAAUGCUACCGGUUCUACCCACUCUGUCCCCCACAGGCUUAGGGAAGUCUGUUGUCCUUUUCUUUUUUCUUCUCUGGCCUACGCUGGUGCAGUGGUGUCAUCUUGGCUCAGUGCAGCCUCGACUUCCUGGGAUCCAGCGAUCCUCCUGCCUCAGCCUCUAGAGUAGCCGAGACCACCGGUCACCCCUAGCUCCCAGGCUCUCUUCCGGGUCCAGAACCCACAGGAUCCUACAGGAGGGGCCGACAACUGCUUGCCUUCGACACUUGAAACUCUCGGUCUAAGGUUCCCUAAGAGCGUAAAAGGCACAGCGUUUUCUGACCGCAGCUUCAGGUCUCCCUCACCUGUCCCGGUACCUCUCCUGCAGGAGGGAACUCUGUGGGAACUGCUCGUUGAUUCUGAUGGUUAACUCUGUCAGAUGUCUUUGAUAUUGGGCAUAGGAGUUGGAAGAGGGCUAGAGAGAAAAAUGAACUGCAAGACUCCAGCACAGGAGGUGGGAUUGAUGGCAGACGUCUGUUCCCUCUCUAAACCCAAUAAACAUCUCAAAUUGCCAUCCACUUUCCUAUACCCUUGAUUUGUGAAAUGGAUCACUGAGGCUUUCUCUGUCUUUCCGGAAAUGCAAACAGCUGAAUUUUCAAGAGCU